rnacentral:rRNA from 1 species
GACGAACGCUGGCGGCGUGCCUAAUACAUGCAAGUAGAACGCUGGAGGAGGAGCUUGCUUCUCUGGAUGAGUUGCGAACGGGUGAGUAACGCGUAGGUAACCUGCCUGGUAGCGGGGGAUAACUAUUGGAAACGAUAGCUAAUACCGCAUAAGAGUAGAUGUUGCAUGACAUUUACUUAAAAGGUGCAAUUGCAUCACUACCAGAUGGACCUGCGUUGUAUUAGCUAGUUGGUGAGGUAACGGCUCACCAAGGCAACGAUACAUAGCCGACCUGAGAGGGUGAUCGGCCACACUGGGACUGAGACACGGCCCAGACUCCUACGGGAGGCAGCAGUAGGGAAUCUUCGGCAAUGGACGGAAGUCUGACCGAGCAACGCCGCGUGAGUGAAGAAGGUUUUCGGAUCGUAAAGCUCUGUUGUAAGAGAAGAACGAGUGUGAGAGUGGAAAGUUCACACUGUGACGGUAUCUUACCAGAAAGGGACGGCUAACUACGUG